UCCACCACCUCCUUGGGCAGUCCAUUCCAAUGCUUGACCACUCUUUCAGAAAAGUAGUAUUUAAAAAAAGAUUUAAGUCUUUAAAGGUGUUUACCUCACAACCUUUAUUUCCUCAAAGUGCAGCUGUAUACUUGGAAAUGUAUUUAAGUUCAGAUCCAUAAAUGGAGAGCAAUAGUAGUAUAUCUCCAGGGCUGUUGUCAAGUGACUGCAGCCUGGCAGUCAUUGUGAUGUGCACCAGUGGAGUUGUAGCUCAAAAAUGUCUCCUGCCUUUAUAUUUUGUACUGACCCAAAUUAUUUUAGUGCAUCCUUUUAUUGAAGUCGUAAGCUCUUUUCAAGUGCAUACGUGUUCUGUCUUUUUAUCAGAAGUCAAGUAUAUUGCAAAUCUUGGCAUAGAUAGCUUUUCUUUAACGCUUAACUUUAUUUAGAAAACAAACUAAGGCAUUGCUAGAAUAGAACUGGUAAUGUGGAGAUGACAGCAGCUAUGUAAGGUUAGCCUGCAAAGGAAAGUUUGUCUGAAAUAAGAUGGGCUAUAAAUCUGAAGCAUCAUAUUUGUUCCUGGCUUUAUAUAUAUAUUUUUGUCAAUUUUUAUAUGGCUUUGAGGGUUAGACCCAGUAAGAUACAUGUCUGUUAGAAGCUAGAAGCUUUGAUGGCAAAGUUUGUGUUACUGAACUGUAGUGCUGGAUCAGAAGCGCUCUGCUGGGUGUUGUGUUGUGCCUUAUUCGCUGAAUGAAGAGCCACAGAUUUUGAAAUGCUUAUCUGUGCUUGAUUCAAAGCUUCAAUGAGAUACAUCCAGAGCACUGGGAUCACUUCCUGAAUUAAUGUCGUGAUGCUUCCACCUGGGUCCAAGUAACAGUGUAAAACUGGAGGAGAGGUGAUGAUUUCCCACUUUUAAAGCAACGCUUCUUAAAUAUGUAUUUACCACAUACAACUCCAGUGAUCAACAGGCUUUUCAAAACAUUGGAGUAUGAACUCCUGCCAAGUAAAUUAAGUUUAUGAUCUGUGUGGUGUUUGGCGGUUACCAAAUAAACUUGGGUGCUAUGUUGAAAGUAAUUUUCUGAGUGGAGGUGGUUACACAAACCACUGGGUAAAGAGCUGCAUGCAGUCACUCACCAGCCAUAACUGGCAGCAGAGAUGCUUCUGUUCAGUCCCCACAUGCAAUUUCUGCUAUUUGUGUUACGGGAAUGGAGGUGAAUGGACUGACAUGGGUGCUAAUUUUAGGGGUGGAAAGCAAGGAGAAAUUAGAGAUGUACUAGGAAUCCUAGUUUGGGAAGAUAAAUUGCAAGACGGCAUGAUAGAAAUGGAUGUUUACCUCCUCUUCAUUUCUGUUUCAGCUGUAAGUGUACUUGUAGUGAGCCAUACCCUGCAGUUCCUGCUACCCAAUAAAUCCAGUUUUGGAUAUCAGCUGAGGCUGACCGUAAGUCAGGACAACCUCGCUCAUAUUUCCUCUUUCUGGACUUUUAUUCUCCUGGCUGAAUAAGUUGGUGUGUUCUGCUCUGCAGUGACCAGCUCCAAACAGGAGGCUAUGGGAAGCACUGUCCAGAGCAGCAGAAGGUCUGAGCAGAGCAGUGUCCUGAGAGAGGUGAUGCUUUGGCUUCCUGUAAGAUUGAUCUUGAGGAAUGUCAGGUUUUUUGAUUCUGAACAUGGUGAAUGCAUGAGGCUUCCUCAGACUUGAUGGAAUUUCAGAUGCACAAAGAACUGUCUGUUCAAAUGAUGAAGCAAGCUGUAAUCUAAACAGACAAACAAGGCUACAGGCGCACCGCAACUACCGCUACAGCAAAUUCGACAUAAAAUCUCAAUACGGACUUGAAAAUCUCCUUUAGCCGCAGCAUUGAAAAUCAUGGUGUCAAACUCACUACGUCUGAGAAGAGGAGCAGAGCAGCCGGACCGUCGCCCUCUGGAGGUGUGACUGAUCACGGUUCCACCGCUGGGUGCAGGAGCUUCAGUUCCUCUGGCACGUCUCACCCCAAGGCACGUGAGGUCACCUCCCUGUCUAUACUCAGAAUAAGUUCAAAUUCCUACUUUAGUGUUAUUUUUGCUGUUUUAUUUUUAUAACCCUGUUGAUACAAAAGACCCCAUUCUGAUCAGAUGUGAUUAUGAAUCUCUCUUCCAGAGACAAAAUCUUUUUUUUAAAUAUUCUGCAGGCUUUAAAUUGCUUAAAGCCUCUUUUUUUUUCUUGUACAGUCAGAGCGCUUGAGAUGAAAACCAGCAUGAUAGUUGGGCUCUUGUGAUGCAUUUUUAUGUAAUUAUUAUUCAGAGCUGAACUGUAUUCUAAGUCAGAUGUUUAAAAAACAAAGAAAGUAGCAAUAAUUCUUCAUAUGUUUAUACAAUUGUCCAGUAGCAGAGAUCUUGCUGGAGAUUUGUGCUGCUUACUGUGCAGUUCUAAGGGGAAUGCUUGCUGAAAUGGACAAACCUGAGAGUCUUCUCAUUAAAUAUUGGUCCUUCACCAAGAAUAGUUGCUGGCUUUAAAGGAAGAGAUGCCUCACCCUGAGGGGCGUGGGCCAAGGAGUGGGAGAACACUGUUGUUAAUGCAGCUCAUCAUAAAGGGUUAUGGGGCGAUUCAAAGCAAGUGGUUAUAACAGUCAUAUUUCAUAAAGCAAGCUGAAAAAGAGCAAACCCAGUCCAUGCUGUCAGUCACAAGGAAUGUAGUAUCUGAUCAAACCAAGUUAGCCUUAGAAGCAGGAGCCCAGGUCUAACUGAAAGCAGUGCAUCUGCUGCAGUGCUGGGCUCAGCGAGGGUUUCCUUACCCUGCCAAAACACAUCAGCAGUGUGGAUGCUGAUGAUAUCUUGUGCACUCAGGAGUCACUGGACUUGUCAGAGCCACACCUUUUAUCUGGUGUUUGAUGUAGGAUUAUACAUCCUCAACCUGUGUGUUAGAGGGAAGGACAGAAAGAACAGAACAAGGACAUGCUUUUUGCUAUUAUUUCAUGUUGUACACAGUGCUCUGAUGAUAUUUAAGUGUUACUCACUUCUCCAUGGAUACAUCCAGUGUGACAAACCACCCCUGUUCCAGAGCAGCCCCUCGCACUUCUCAGUGCUUCCUUCUCCAGUCCCUGCUCAUAGACCUUUGGGAGCUGACCGUAGGAGCUGGGUCACAGAACAGAAAGACUUGCCAGUCAUCGUUCACUGAUUACUUUCACAACUGUAACCUUGUUCAGAUAUCUUGUCUUUAUAGAUCCUGCUCUCUUUCUGAUG